rnacentral:rRNA from 1 species
CCUACGGGAGGCAGCAGUGGGGAAUAUUGCGCAAUGGGCGAAAGCCUGACGCAGCGACGCCGCGUGAGGGAUGAAGGUCUUCGGAUCGUAAACCUCUGUCAGCAGGGAAGAACGGUCACUGUGCUAAUCAGCAGUGAAUUGACGGUACCUGCAAAGGAAGCACCGGCUAACUCCGUGCCAGCAGCCGCGGUAAUACGGAGGGUGCGAGCGUUAAUCGGAAUUACUGGGCGUAAAGCGCUCGUAGGCGGUAUGUCAAGUCAAGGGUGAAAUCCCCGCGCUCAACGUGGGAACUGCCUUUGAACCUGGCAAACUGGAGUGUGUGAGAGGGUAGUGGAAUUCCAGGUGUAGGAGUGAAAUCCGUAGAUAUCUGGAGGAACAUCAGUGGCGAGGGCGACUAUCUGGAACAUAACUGACGCUGAGGAGCGAAAGCGUGGGUAGCAAACAGGAUUAGAUACCCGUGUAGUC